AUAUGAAAAAAAAAAAAAAGAAGUAACAUCCCCCAAGGAUAUAACGAAUAAUAUCAGAGAAUGCACCUGCACUGGGACAUCAGUAGUGACAUCUUUUCAGGAAAUACGAAUAAUAUCAAAGGGUGUACACACAUUGUGAAAUUAGUAGUGAACUCCCGCUAGGAUAUUAUGAAUUUUAUAACAGGGUCUACACGCCCUGUGACAUUAGCAGUCAUGUUUUCCUAGGCUAUUACGAAGAAUAUGAAAGGGUGUACAGGACCUGUGAAUUACGGGUAACAUUUCUGUAGAAUAUUGCACGUAACAUCACUGUGUGUACACCCCGUGUGACAUUAGGGGCAACAUCCCACAAAAUUAUAAUGAAGAAUUUCACUAGGUGUACACACUCUGUGACAUGAAAAGUAACAUUUCCCUAGAACAUGUUGAUACUAUCACAGAGUGUACACCUCUGUGACAUGAGGAGUGACAUCUUACAAGGAUAAUAUGAGUAAUUUGACAAGGUGUACAAACCCUAUGACACAAGCAGUGAUAUCCCUCUAGGAGGUUAUGAAUACUAUCAAAGGGAACCUACCCCGUGUGACAAUAAAAGUAACCUCCUCUUAGGAGAACAACAAUAACACCACAAGGUGUACACGCAUUGUGACAUUAUUAUUAAUGAAGAGCUAGGAUAUUUGGAAUAACAUCACAGCGUGUAGAGUCCUGUGACAACAGGAUUAACAUUCCCCUACCAUAUGAUGAAUAAUAUCGCAGGGUGUCUAUCCCCUGUGACUUUAGUAGUGGCAUCUUGCUAGAAUAUGGAAAACAAUGUCCCAGGUUGUGAACCAAGGGUGGCAGCAGAGAAAAUAUCGUAGGAAAAAUGGGGGAGUAAUAUCGCUCCCUUCUCCCUGCCUGGAUAUUACGAGCCACAUCGCAGUGGGGCGAGGGCGCCCCCCGCGAUGCGGGGAAUACUAUCGCCCCCCUCUCCCCCGCUGGAUAUUACGAGCCACAUCGCAGGGGGGCGAUCGCUGCAUUACUCUGCACUGUCCCUAGCAAAGUCUCUCCUUGGGAAGCCAAUGGCAGGACUCUAAUUCCUAGAAUCCUUUGCAAAUUAACCCUUCCGGGUGAGGCUAAGUUAGAUCCUGGAAAUAGACUUACUGGAAGGCAGAGAGGAGGCUAUUUUUCCGGUUUUUCCAGUCUGUCUCUUUGUGUAACAGCCUCCUUUUGUCUUUGAGCAAGGAUACAGCAGUGAGGUCUUCAAGAACCUCAGCUCUUUAACAAUGAGACUCCACGUUUUCCUCACUGCUCUUUUUGCCAUCUUCCAGGUACUACCAGGUAAAUACCAACAUCAUGGCCCUUUCUUAUUAUCAUUAUUUUGCUUUUUCCUCUCCCUAAGUCAACAACAGUUGGAAGGUUAAGGAUUAGGGGGCUGCUCACAGGUCAUCACUACACCCCAAAAUAACUUACUGAAAAGGUAAAAGAAAUUCCUCUGUAACUGUCCGCUGUGUCUUCAUGAUGUUAAAAGUCCUGUUAGGUCACUAUCUUCUGCUCUUCUGCUUUCCCCCAGUGAACUGGAUGAUUUGAGGAGCAAAUCUAUUGACUCAUGUGAUCAGUAUAAACUGGGGUGGAGACAAAGAUUCUUUGUGUUUGCCCUGACCAGAGACCUGCUGCCACUCAUCACAGUGGUGACUUCAAUUUGCCUGAACAGGGCUUCCGUCUUAACAGACUGUGAGAGUUGGGCCAGGUCAUGUGGGGUAGGCGAGCAGGGAUGCCUGGAGAGAUGGACCAGGGGAUAGGUAUUGAUCAUACUGCACCCCUGACACAUGAACUAACGCCUGUUUAUUCCCGAGGGAGGAAAGAAGAUUUGGUCAGUAGUUAUAUCAACAACAAUGGGAACUUAUGGGAGAUUGAGAUGGUGAAGGGAGGAGAGGCUGAGGCCUUGGAAUCAAACCCACUUGCUGUUAGUGUUUCGCUGGGAAAGGUGGAGAUUCCAUCUGCAUAGUGAGCUCUCCUGCUUUCCUCCUCAGACUUUUCACUUCAUACAAACAUCUUUCCAUUUUUCAGGCAUCACUAGGGCACUCCAUUUUGAAAGACCCUGCUACCUUAGAGGUGGGAUCUGUCUGAAGCGCGGAACACCGAACUGUGAGCCAUUCAGAGGACCCUGCAGAGCUUUCACUGUUUGCUGUAAAAUACGGAGAAGCUAAUGGAGGAGCCCGGCAAGGAACACAGGUGCGGGAUCUGAAGCAUGGCUCCUUUAGUCCAAAUGAGAGCAAACAUUACUCAAGCCCACAUAAUUCAUUAUCAUUAGGACUGAUUAAAGAAAGAUAUGUUUCCCAUGAAGGGGAAGGCACUGGGUAGGAGAAAAUUAUAAUUAAACUUAUAUUAUGUUUUAAA